ensembl:lncRNA
GGGGGAAGGCAAACAAAAGUGCUGAGGGACCUAAGGGCUGAGGCUGAGGUGAGCCCAGCAGCUUCCUAGUAAGAGGAGAAAGUGCUGAGCUUCAGAAGGCAUCUGAUGCAGAAAGGGUGGGAGGGUUGGCAAAGGAUGUGAAGGAGAGGUAUGGAGUGUGCCUGGCUUGGCCCAGGAGAUGAUUUCAUAGGCAUCUCCCCCCACCCAUUUCUUCCUGAGCCAUCAGUCCUGGUGAACCCCUGCCUGCAUCUCAAGGGUCUAGGCCAAGCAACCACUGACAUGGGAGAGAAGGGGCCCUUCUGGGCCAGACCACGAAGGCUGGCACUGUGCCUGCUGGAGGAGGAGGGGAUUAGAGACCCAGUCCUCAUCAGCAUCCCAGCCGGCACUUCGGAGGCAAUUAGCAGCCCAGCUGAGCUAAUCCCCCGCCUGGCUAGGCCAACACAAACAGGCCCAAGCCGGGUGCACACUUGCCUCCCUGUUUGCUGAAGGGCCCAGUGGCCCGCCAAGAACAACAUCAGUAACCCAGGGCCUUCUCUAGGUUAAGAGUGGGACCAGGCUAGGUUAAGAGUGGGACCAGGGCUUGCUGAAGAGCUGAUAGUGCCCGACAGAGCACACUCUGGAUAGGCACUCUGGCUGCCCCAGAAAGGCAGCCACUGUUCCCAAACCAUGGGUCAGUGGGAAGAGGAAGCUAGACACAAGGAGCCAUGUAUUCUGAUUCAACACACACUCCCACCUCCACCAUGCCACCUGUGAGAGAGAAGGCACUGCCACUUUGGCCAGCCCAAUUGAAGCCAGGAGAGGUAGACCCUCUGAUCAGAGCCUAAGGACACAGGAUCCAUACCAAGAGAAAAUUUAGACCUUACUCUUGCCGUCAAGGAGCUCACAGUCUAGCAAGAAAAGCAAUUAUGUGUAGGACCCUGGAGCAGGAUCAGAAUCUAGCCCCAGUCAAACUUGGCAAAGCUGCAGUAGAACUUCCAAGAAGAGAAGGCAAAGGGGAUCCAGGAGAAGAAACAAAUCAAGACCCACAGAUUGACAAAUGGGGCAGAUGGCACCAAGAGAUGAAGGACCUAGGACAAGUUCUGCCACAACGUGGUCCUGGACCAAGAAAUGAAACCAGGCCAUCCUUCUCAGGCACCUCUGCUUCUGAAUUCCAGACCCAUCCUACCCGCAUCAGCCCUAGGCCUGGGGGUAUCUUCUUUUAGAACCAAACUCUCCAUUCUCAAUGUGGUCUCUCACCUACCCCAAGACCCCUUUCUCCUCAACCUCCAAGUCCUCACAGGUCUCCUGCCAAGAACAAAGGCCACAAACAGACUUUGCAGUAGAACUUCAGCCUCUCUGGAGUUUCCACCCAGGGAAGCAACAGCUACGGUCUCCCUGUGUGGGUCAUACCUCCUCAAGACACUGUGUUCAUCAGCUGUUCUCAGCACCACCACCAUUUACAGAGGAACUUACUUAUCACAACACCAUACCAGUAUCACCUCAGGGCAUGGGCACCAGCACAUAACUGAACAUAAAUAUUCCCCACUGGGUAAGCCAGCCAAGAGGCAGAUACAUAAUUUAUCUGUGCUUCAGGGAUGAGACUGAGGCUCACAGAAGGGAAGAGACUCCCCCAGGCCUUUUGGCUUCUAGUCAGGAUGCAAGGUCACCAGAGCCUCUCCCUACUCCACAAGCCUCCACCCUCCCUUACUGCUGGCCUAGACCUGCCUUUGGUCCUCUCUGACCAGGGGGCCAUAGAACCCUGAGCCCACCUUCUCCUCACAAAAUAGUAUCAUCUAUCCCUGGCUGGGCCAAGCUGAACUCUGACAUGCUGCUGGGGACCUACACAUUACUUUGCAGAAAGCUCUCUCUUUAAGGCCAAAGGGUGAGGGAAGCUGGAGUUGACUGCCAGGGCUGACAAAGUCAAAGCAGGAAACAGCAGGCCUCCCCACCACCCUGCUUCAGCUGGUGUGGCAGAAGACUUCAGGCCCAGGUCCAAGCCUGCCAGAUGGACUGUCAGGUUCCUGCCCACAGCCCAAAGAGGCUGACAACCCACAGUCCAAACUCCUCUUGGGGUGCUUCCCACCCAGCCCUAGAACACUAGCCUGGACCAAGGUAUAGAUGAAAUGACAAGUCCUUUCCCCCUUCAGUUCAGCCAAACAGGGAAGUGUUUUUUCAAAGGUAUUUUACUAGGACACUGAAAGAAAACAAAAAGAUAAGCACACAGAAAUAAGCAGUUUUCUAAGCAGGACUUUAACCAGCACCCAAUCAGAGGCCUACAGAUGCAUCUCCCUCUCAUCCCCCAUCCCUCAGGCAGCCUCUUUCUAGGCACUGGGAGAUCUGGGGCCUUAUUCUAACUCCACUGCUGACAGCUUGUGAAUUCUAAAGCAAGUCAGUAAACCUCUCAAUCUCAUCUGUAAAACAGAGAUGAAGAUAAUAUAGGGCCAGGCCUGGACUAAUCUGAAGCCUCUGUUCUACACAGCUUGCCACCCCCACCCACCUCCACCAUUCUGGCUGUAGGAAGACUAGGUGAAACACAACUGUGGACACGCUCCAUGGAUUGAGAAGCACAGUCAAGGAAGCUGAUGGUAGUCACUGGCCAGAACCUGCCUUUCCUUUAAGAGUGAGGAAAACUGUGUUUUGAGGUAUGGAGGAUGGCACUGUAUUCCUGGUGCAUCAGGUUUAGCUGACAUGAGGGUUUGCUGAGUCUCUCUUCCCCUUGGAGUUCUUCUAUCCCUCUUCUUCCCAGCACCUCUUGCAGCCUGGGCCUCCUCCCCCAUCUCCAUCUUGGACAGCAGCUGGAACCACCUGGAAAGCUUCAGGAAUGGCUGAUGGUUAUCACAGCCAGGACAGGGCAAGUGGCUGUCCCUCAGAUUCAUCAUAGAGCUGGAGUGGAUCCAGAGAAGUGACCAUGAGGAUGUGGGACUGCUGCUAUGAACUCAGACUGCCUCAAUCUAGAAAGAGAAAGCCUGAGAGGGGGCAGCUCAACCACUCAAAUCAGAAGAGGUAUGAAGAGGGGACCUCUGAACAAGCAUGGCGUGGCAGGAGAAGGCUGAGAGCCAAAGUUGUCCAAAUCUGGAUGGGACCCCUUCUAGACUUCCCUGGCUGGGUGACCUCAGAUGAGUUAACCCUUAUGAGUCUCAGCUUUCCCAUCUGUACCAUUUCAGAAGGCUACCAUGAGAACUGAGCCAUAACUCAGCAACAUGUCCCCUCAGUCUGACAGGACCCCAGCAGGAGCAGCAGCAAGAGAGAAUGGCACGAGGCUCCCCUCCUAUGCAUCCCAUGCAGCUCUCCCUGCAAAGGAACUGCUUCUGGGCAAGGAAGAAAUUCUCAACCCUUAUAGUCUCUUCCUAUGAGUCACAAAACCCUGCCUUGUUCAUUCCAUCUGACAUUUCAAAAUAAAUCUUGUGACUAAAACCAAAUCUAGGGCCAGGGAUUUAGCUCAGUGGUGCUGCGCCUGCUGCGAAAACGAAAGGUCCUGAGCUCCAUCCCCAGUACCAGCAGAAAAAAAAUCUAAGCAAGAGAUUUUUAAAAAUCUACACAUCUGUCCAUCAGGUAUGCUACUACUCUCAAGACAAUCUAGUAGUUAAAAGGUCUAGAGUCAAAAUAACCCCACCUCUACUACUUCCUACCUAUGUACAUUGGGCAAGUUGUUUCACCUGCUUCCUCAGUUACAAAAUAGAAAUGAAAAGAGCAGCCAUCUCACAGAGCCAGGUCAGGAUAAAGCAUGCAAAGUCUUCACACACUGAUGGUCACUCACCCAGGCCUUGGUCAUUAGCUAUGACCACUGUGAAUAUGAAAGAAUGCUUCCAUCCCAAUCCUAAGCAUUCUGAUCCAGCAGUUGUUCUAGGUGGACUCCCCAACUUUAGUUAAGCAGAAGACAUACCUGACAGAAAAAAGCGUUAAUACCCUUUUACAGGCUUGUUUCCCUCAGGCAUAUGACACAUCAUGAAUACACACUAGUUCUUACAUGUCUAUAUUCCCCUAAAACUUCGAGCUCCUAAAGAGGGGGAUCUGGAACUUCUAUUUCAUAUGAGGGUCUGGGAAGUAGAAACACUGAAUAAAGAUCACAUGAACUGAUGAGGCAUUCAGGCCAGGGGGAGAAAAGCAACACAACCAUCUAUGAGCACCAUACAGGUACAUGACAGAGUAACCCCAACAAAAGGCAGGACGACAGGAAGCUCCAAUCCUUUAAAAUUCCAAAACACUACAGCUCUGUUUCCCUGGACCCCUCCCUUCUCCAGAUUAAAGGAGUCUUGGAAAUGGGUUAAGCUAUCUCCUACUACUGUCCCUGAAUUUCAACACUAACUAGCUCCUCCUUUCAGGGCCCCAAAGAAGAGCCUUGGCCUGGGUAUGUGACCUUUGAUCCCUGCACAAGGCCUCUCCGGAGGGCCAGCCCAUACGGCUUGGUUACAAAUGAAGUCCUGGACAGCCAUCUGACCCACUGUCCCUUGGUCUCAUCUCCAAGUUCCUAAAGCUUUAGCCAAAGACAACAGUGUGGGCUCAUUUCUUUGGGGCCAAGAGUGGAAGGCUCCCCAGCACCUGGGAGCAGCUGGACACUACAACUCAAGGACGCUUCGAGGCUGGUCUCCCCAUCCUGUGCCAAGUGCAUCUGUAAACAAGUGCUCUCAGUGGCUCCCUGCAGCUGCUCCCAAAAGGGUCAAAAGGGAGAGAAACAGGCUAGAACCAAGGCAGCCCAUAGCACACAAGUGAGAACUGAGCCGCUGGAGCCUGGUCUAACAAAGGUGGUCCCUGGUACUGCCAGGCUUGCACUGCUGGCCCUGUGCCCAAAGCCUUAGAUGGGAUCACCAAAACCCAGGACUGUUGCCUUGUGCCACGCUGCUCAGACCUCAAGAGCCAUGGGGCCUGUAUCAAACUACUACAGGCCCCACUGUUUUACAAGUUGGCAAGGAGAAUGCACUCGCUGGGGUGGAGAUGCCUGGAUGCUGUGCUGUUGUGCGUGAUCCUGUUUGCUAUAAAACAGCCAGACAUUCCUAGGACCUGGAAUCACGCCGAGGCCAUGGAGCUAGCCUUCCCAGCCGUAUAUCUCUAGGUGGGGGACAGGCCUGAGACAUCUGAGAUAAUAAAGACAUUAUUGUCUCAGCCCUGGGGCUUGUCUCCCCUUUGUUCCAGGGCUCAGCAGCCAGCAAGAAGUUUAAAGACAUCCUCCCCCUUCUCCUGGGAAAGUACAAAUUCAUCAGAUUCUAUAGCCCCUGGGGUAAACUUCCCAAGAACCAGGCCUGGGGCUGGGAUGUCUGCUCUCAGCUUACCCAAAUACAAGGCAGUCAAGGGCCUGCCAGUGGCAGCACACAGGAAGACCAUGGAUAAGUAGGAUGUGGUGAACACUCAUGACACACCAUUCUCCAUGCACAUGUCUCUAGUUCUCACUUUACACAUAGGAACUAUUUAAAUUUAGGAUGAAGAAACUAAAGCACAGAGACACUAAUGGACUUUUCCAAAGUCACACCUAUUGGAUGGCAUAGGGAGGUUGUAGAAUCUACAUCUACUAUAUUCCAAAGGCUGUAACUUCUAAGGUAAUGCUAAAGCUGCUUUUUCCCCUGUGCUCCUUCUUCCCAAACUCUCAGUUUCUCAACCUCAAAGGGAGAGAAGUUGCUUCCCUUUAACAUCUGAGGGGCAAAAUUCAUAGAAGGGAGGCAAAAAUCCAGGCUCCUGAAUCUUGAAGUCAAAGCAACAGCUGUCAAGACUGAUCUCCUGGGUCACUUCUACCUCAAUCUGACCAAGUGAUAUCAAUAGCCUGCCAUCAGUUGUGUGGCUUCAUGGAGCAAAUACAGGGCCAUGAGAAGGGCUAAGGAUGAACCAGGCCACUUAGUGGAAGGUCAGCACUCGUCUUCUUGCCCUUAGAACUCCCUGGAGCUAGAAAAGGCAUCACUCAUACAAAAGCAGGGGGAGCAUUUGUUUCAGAGCCAAAGGGCUGGUUCAACCUGUGAAAUCUUAUAGAAGCCCAACUCUAAACCAGUUUUCUCAUUUAUAAAAUAAAUACCUGCUCUACCAGCCUCAUGGGCCUUUAUGGAGAUGAG